GACUCACGCGGGAAUCUUACCGGGUCCGGACACACUGAGGAUUGACAGACAAAUAUAGAAAUUUUAUAUUUCUUAUAUAUAAAGAUGCUAGUUCUUUCAUGAUUAUGUGAUAGGUGGUGCAUGGCCGUUCUUAGUUCGUGGAGUGAUCUGUCUGCUUAAUUGCGUUUCAAUUUUUAUUAUGUAUACGUAUGACCCACGUUUACGCGUGCGAGUCUAGUAUGCUAUCAUUUGAAAGCAACGAACGUGACCGUAUCCUUUUAUUAUAUACGCACGCGUAUAUUUAUUCAUUAAAGGGACCGCUGUUUCUUUUUUUAAACCAGAGGAAGGUUACGGCAAUAACAGGUCUGUGAUGCCCUUCGAUGUUCCGGGCUGCACACGUGCUACAAUGAUUAUUUCAUUAAGUAUCUAUAUUACAAUGUGCAACAUUGUUUAACCUACCCUGAGAAUGGGCGGGUAAUCAAUUAGAAGUAAUGAUUUCCUUUUUUUUAUACGCAACUAUGUACCGUAUAUUACAUCCCAUAAUAUUUUUUUAUUAUGCGUGUGUGUUUUAUU
rnacentral:rRNA from 1 species